UACGGAGGGUGCGAGCGUUGUCCGGAAUCACUGGGCGUAAAGGGCGCGUAGGCGGCGCGAGCAGUCGAUCGUGAAAGUCCGGAGCUCAACUCCGGAUCGGCGGUCGAUACUCUCGUGCUUGAGCACUGUAGAGGCAGAUGGAAUUCCGGGUGUAGCGGUGGAAUGCGUAGAGAUCCGGAAGAACACCCGUGGCGAAGGCGGCUUUCUGGGACGGUACUGACGCUGAGACGCGAAAGCGUGGGGAGCGAACAGG
rnacentral:rRNA from 1 species